UCGGGAAUUUUGGGCAAUGGGCGAAAGCCUGACCCAGCAACGCCGCGUGAAGGAUGAAGUCUUUCGGGAUGUAAACUUCGUAAAAAUAGGAAGAAUAAAUGACGGUACUAUUUAUAAGGUCCGGCUAACUACGUGCCAGCAGCCGCGGUAAUACGUAGGGACCAAGCGUUGUUCGGAUUUACUGGGCGUAAAGGGCGCGUAGGCGGCAAUUCAAGUCAUCUGUGAAAUCUCCGGGCCUAACUCGGAACGGUCAGAUGAUACUGCUUUACUAGAGUGCAGAAGGGGCAAUCGGAAUUCUUGGUGUAGCGGUGAAAUGCGUAGAUAUCAAGAGGAACACCUGAGGUGAAGACGGGUUGCUGGGCUGACACUGACGCUGAGGCGCGAAAGCCAGGGGAGCAAGCGGGAUUAGAUACCCGCGUAGUCCCUGAGCGGGGCUGGCA
rnacentral:rRNA from 1 species